GUCUAUGACUAUUCCACCCUGAAUAUGCCUGAUCUUGUCUGAUCUCAGAAGCUAAUCAGGGUCAGACUUGGUUAGUACUUGGAUGGGAGACUGCCUAGGAAUACAGGUGUUUUAGGCU
ensembl:rRNA 5S_rRNA 5S ribosomal RNA